ACAUACAUACAGAGACAGAGAAGGACAACUGAGGUGUGAAGUUCCCAUUGUUAAUCCAAGUCUCUGCCAACAAUGAGUCUGUCCUUUUACACUGUCUCUCUGAUCUCCAUCCUCUGGCCCUGUCUGUCACUGGGAGCUUUGGUGACUCAGUGGCCGCGGACAGUCACAGCCAGAGAGGGGGAGACAGUGAGUUUGAAUUGUCACCAGGACGACAGCUCCCUUUAUACGAUGCUCUGGUACAUCCAACCCCAUCAGGGAGGCCUCACAUUGAUCGGGUACAAUGAACACUCAACCAUAUAUGAGGACAAGUUUAAAUCCGGCUACAACAUUACCAAGACAACUAAUAGAAUGAACUCCACCCUGGAGAUCUCCAGCAUGAACCCAACCCAGGAGGGGGUGUAUUACUGCGCUGCGAGAGAAGGGCACAGCGUCUGUCACUGGGAGCUUUGGUGACUCAGUUGCCGCGGACAGUCACAGCCAGAGAGGGGGAGACAGUGAGUUUUACAUGUAACCAGAAUGACAGUGCCCUUAAUACAAUGCUCUGGUACCUCCAACCCCAUCAGGGAGGCCUCACAUUGAUCGGAUAUGCUGUUCUGUCAAACCCAACGUAUGAGAAAGGCUUUGAAUCUGGUUACAACAUUACACAGAGUAAUGACAAGAAGAAAUCAU